rnacentral:lncRNA from 1 species
GUUCUAUUGUGCAAUCACAUAAGGCUAUGCAGAACUAGCUCUGCUUUCCCACACGAGGCCCUUGUUGCACACUUUUCACCCUGUGGCUGUGAGGAAGCUCCUUGAUCUUAAACAGCCUGAACAGCUCACACACAUCUGAGGGACAGAAGGGCAUAAAACUGAAGUGUGUUUGAGAAGAAAAUCUGAGUGGAACAAAAUAUUUUCUUUAUCAGUAAUCAAUUUUUGUAGCUUUGUUAGAAAACUCUUGGCCCUGUUAAUUGCUUUAAAAAGUAUGUUUUAUUGCUUGAAAGAUCUCUUUUAUCAUGGAAAACUGUCGAGUUCAGGAGGAGAAAAAGGAACAUUAUAUUAAUGGGAAAAGGAGAAUGAUUUUGUUAGUCUUGAUGUACUUUUAAAGAAUUUGAAUUAAGCUACUGACACUCCAUCUGAUUUUCUGCAGUGCUGUACAAUCUGCUCCUCAUGAUCUGAACCUUGAGCAAGGCACAAACAUUUCACACCUGACAGGACCCUCCUUGUGCCCAGGGAACAAACUGCUGGAGGACCUCAUGCCCACCCUGAGCCUGGGGUGCUCCAGCUUUCUAGCAAAUACCAUGGACCUGAACUAUCAGAUGAGAAGAAAGGCGGAGCUGUCUUCAGCUGCUCCUCACACGGCUUUGGCACAACUGGUCAGGAAUGGGAGGAAAUGGCCACUGGAACAACGUCUGGAGAAACAGCAAGGAAAAAUGAUGGGCAUUAGAGAAGGUUUAGGGGAUUUCUGCUAUUUAAGGAUCUUAAGAAUUACUUUGUUGUCAGAAACUGAUGCAUGAUUCUUAUUUUGUUUCCACAGUGUAAAGUGAUUUGCUGCAAUAAAGCAUUUCAAUCUGCAACUGAUUUAUGAAAU